UCAGAGCCCGUUAAUGGGUGAUGGCGUGCCUUUUGUAGAAUGAACCGGCGAGUUACGAUUUGAUGCAAGGUUAAGCAGUAAAUGUGGAGCCGUAGCGAAAGCGAGUCUGAAUAGGGCGUUUAGUAUUUGGUCGUAGACCCGAAACCAGGUGAUCUACCCUUGGUCAGGUUGAAGUUCAGGUAACACUGAAUGGAGGACCGAACCGACUUACGUUGAAAAGUGAGCGGAUGAACUGAGGGUAGCGGAGAAAUUCCAAUCGAACCUGGAGAUAGCUGGUUCUCUCCGAAAUAGCUUUAGGGCUAGCCUCAAGUGAUGAUUAUUGGAGGUAGAGCACUGUUUGGACGAGGGGCCCCUCUCGGGUUACCGAAUUCAGACAAACUCCGAAUGCCAAUUAAUUUAACUUGGGAGUCAGAACAUGGGUGAUAAGGUCCGUGUUCGAAAGGGAAACAGCCCAGACCACCAGCUAAGGUCCCAAAAUAUAUGUUAAGUGGAAAAGGAUGUGGCGUUGCCCAGACAACUAGGAUGUUGGCUUAGAAGCAGCCAUCAUUUAAAGAGUGCGUAAUAGCUCACUAGUCGAGUGACACUGCGCCGAAAAUGUACCGGGGCUAAACAUAUUACCGAAGCUGUGGAUUGUCCUUUGGACAAUGGUAGGAGAGCGUUCUAAGGGCGUUGAAGCAUGAUCGUAAGGACAUGUGGAGCGCUUAGAAGUGAGAAUGCCGGUGUGAGUAGCGAA
rnacentral:rRNA from 1 species